GUUUUGCUAACCACGCCGAGUCAGCGUUAGAGCCUGAGGAAAAAGUAAAGAAAAUCUGUAAAAUAGCGCUAUUGGAAACCAGAACGAGGCUGAAAGCUGAAGGCUGUGGUCGAUCGUUGGACGCUUUCUUCCCGUUUGCAGUUGCGGCCCGGUGGGAAACGAACCGGCAGAUGGUUGGAUCUACUUCUCUUUCCUCCACACUGACUCAGCUGGACCAGACUGACCUUCUGAUGUUCA